CCCAGGUCCUAUGGGACGCAGCAGGCGAGAAAACUUUGCAAUGUGCGAAAGCACGACAAGGUUAAUCCGAGUGUUUCNUGNUAAAGGAAUCUUUUGUUAGUCGUAGAACCACUAGCGAAUAAGGGGUGGGCAAGUUNUGGUGUCAGCCGCCGCGGUAAAACCAGCACCUCAAGUGGUCAGGAGGGUUAUUGGGCCUAAAGCAUCCGUAGCCUGUUUUGUAAGUCUUCGGUUAAAUCCACAUGCUUAACAUGUGGGCUGCCGGAGAUGCUGCAAAACUAGGGAGUGGGAGAGGUAGACGGUACUUGGUAGGAAGGGGUAAAAUCCUUUGAUCUAUUGAUGACCACCUGUGGCGAAGGCGGUCUACCAGAACACGUUCGACGGUGAGGGAUGAAAGCUGGGGGAGCAAACCGGAUUAGAUACCCGGGUAGUCCCAGCUGUAAACGAUGCAGACUCGGUGAUGCAUUGGUUUAUUGCCGGUGCAGUGCCGCAGGGAAGCCGUUAAGUCUGCCGCCUGGGAAGUACGUACGCAAGUAUGAAACUUAAAGGAAUUGGCGGGGGAGCACCACAAGGGGUGAAGCCUGCGGUUCAAUUGGAGUCAACGCCUGAAACCUUACCCGGAGAGACAGCAGAAUGAAGGUCAAGCUGAAGACUUUACCAGACAAGCUGAGAGGUGGUGCAUGGCCGUCGCCAGCUCGUGCCGUGAGAUGUCCUGUUAAGUCAGGUAACGAGCGAGAUCCCUACCAUUAGUUGCCACCAUUACUCUCAGGAGUAGUGGGGCGAAUUAAUGGGACCGCCGCAGUUAAUGCGGAGGAAGGAAGGGGCCACGGCAGGUCAGUAUGCCCCGAAACUCUGGGGCCACACGCGGGCUGCAAUGGUAGCGACAAUGGGUUCCAAAAUCGAAAGAUUGAGGCAAUCCCCAAACGCUACCACAGUUAUGAUUGAGGGCUGCAACUCGCCCUCAUGAAUAUGGAAUCCCUAGUAACUGCGUGUCAUUAUCGCGCGGUGAAUACGUCCCUGCUCCUUGCACACACCGCCCGUCGUUUCAUUGAAGUUUGCCCUUAACGAGGUAAUGUCUANUUGGCACUAUCG
rnacentral:rRNA from 1 species